AAUCAGCACAUGUCCGCCAGUUGAUUUCUCCGCUACCCAUUUCCCCAUUCACGCCCCAACAACAGGCAGCUUCACAAAGAAGAAUAAAGUAGGCAGCCACAACAAUGCAGGAACAUCAUCCAAAGACACCAAAGGACAUCACAUCAAUGGAGGAACUCUUUGAUCGGCUCUGCUUUGGAAACUCUAUUUUCUUGACAGAUCAUAUAAGAUACUACCUAACAGACAAGAUCUUGAGGAUACACCAUUCAGAUAAACUGUAUCUAUUCACAAUGAAUGCAACUACU